rnacentral:rRNA from 1 species
AGUGAACGCUGGCGGUAGGCCUAACACAUGCAAGUCGAACGGCAGCACAGUAAGAGCUUGCUCUUACGGGUGGCGAGUGGCGGACGGGUGAGGAAUACAUCGGAAUCUACUUUUUCGUGGGGGAUAACGUAGGGAAACUUACGCUAAUACCGCAUACGACCUACGGGUGAAAGCAGGGGAUCUUCGGACCUUGCGCGAUUGAAUGAGCCGAUGUCGGAUUAGCUAGUUGGCGGGGUAAAGGCCCACCAAGGCGACGAUCCGUAGCUGGUCUGAGAGGAUGAUCAGCCACACUGGAACUGAGACACGGUCCAGACUCCUACGGGAGGCAGCAGUGGGGAAUAUUGGACAAUGGGCGCAAGCCUGAUCCAGCCAUACCGCGUGGGUGAAGAAGGCCCUCGGGUUGUAAAGCCCUUUUGUUGGGAAAGAAAAGCAGCAGGUUAAUACCCCGCCGUUCUGACGGUACCCAAAGAAUAAGCACCGGCUAACUUCGUG